CCGUGAGCCAAUUAAAUAUCUCUUCUUAUAAGUUACCUAGUCUCAGGUAUUUCUUUAUAGCAGUGCAACAACAGCCUAAUACAUCUGGCAAUGUUUUUGGAUGUGAUUAUAGAUAAAAAUAAAUCUAAAAAGUUUACCAGCUUUCCAGGGAUCUAGCCAUCUUUAUACAAAGGGCUUCAAAAAUAAACUAAUUAAUAAAAGGACGGCUAAUCAUUAGAACAACA
rnacentral:lncRNA from 10 species